UUUAACUGAAGAGUUUGAUCAUGGCUCAGAUUGAACGCUGGCGGCAGGCUUAACACAUGCAAGUCGAGCGGAGAGAGGUAGCUUGCUACUGAUCUUAGCGGCGGACGGGUGAGUAAUGCUUAGGAAUCUGCCUAUUAGUGGGGGACAACAUUUCGAAAGGAAUGCUAAUACCGCAUACGUCCUACGGGAGAAAGCAGGGGAUCUUCGGACCUUGCGCUAAUAGAUGAGCCUAAGUCGGAUUAGCUAGUUGGUGGGGUAAAGGCCUACCAAGGCGACGAUCUGUAGCGGGUCUGAGAGGAUGAUCCGCCACACUGGGACUGAGACACGGCCCAGACUCCUACGGGAGGCAGCAGUGGGGAAUAUUGGACAAUGGGCGCAAGCCUGAUCCAGCCAUGCCGCGUGUGUGAAGAAGGCCUUAUGGUUGUAAAGCACUUUAAGCGAGGAGGAGGCUACUUUAGUUAAUACCUAGAGAUAGUGGACGUUACUCGCAGAAUAAGCACCGGCUAACUCUGUGCCAGCAGCCGCGGUAAUACAGAGGGUGCAAGCGUUAAUCGGAUUUACUGGGCGUAAAGCGCGCGUAGGCGGCUAAUUAAGUCAAAUGUGAAAUCCCCGAGCUUAACUUGGGAAUUGCAUUCGAUACUGGUUAGCUAGAGUGUGGGAGAGGAUGGUAGAAUUCCAGGUGUAGCGGUGAAAUGCGU
rnacentral:rRNA from 1 species